rnacentral:rRNA from 1 species
GAUCAUGGCUCAGGAUGAACGCUAGCCACAGGCUUAACACAUGCAAGUCGAGGGGCAGCAUGGUCUUAGCUUGCUAAGGCCGAUGGCGACCGGCGCACGGGUGAGUAACACGUAUCCAACCUGCCGUCUACUCCUGGACAGCCUUCUGAAAGGAAGAUUAAUACAAGAUGGCAUCAUGAGUCCGCAUGUUCACAUGAUUAAAGGUAUUCCGGUAGACGAUGGGG